GAAAGAACUGGAUUCUGCCAGAUGCCAGGGAGAAUUAUGGCCCCCUCACUCCCUCCCUCAGGACUGAAGCCCCUCGGGAAGGGGCGUGGGCCCAUGAGGAUGCCUGUGCCAUGCAAGCCCUGGGCCCUGCACGGAGGAGACCUGUGAUGCCAAUACUGAGUGGUAGAUGGAUCUGAAACAUCAUCAUGGUUGAUCAUCAUCACCAGCUCAUCAUGGCUCUGCGCUUCAGUUUCCUCCCUUGCAAAACCAGAGCUGCUGGCAGGAGGCUGAGAGUGCUGGCUGGGAAACCCCGUACAGGGGCCCAGUGCACCCUGCUCCAGGAGGGGGCCGGCUCCAGCCUCAGGGGCCUGUCUGUUGGCUUCAAUGCUGGGAUCCUUGGCCUGAGGCAGGAAAGGGGCGGACACCUGACAGCUGCCCUUUGCACUAUGCAAAGCAAGGCAUGUGUGCAACCAGAGUGCCUCCCUUCCAGCAUCCCAGGACAGAAGGUAGGAAGUUACAUCAAGUCCACGUUGGAAAGAUGGGGAUGGCAAUACGAAUAUCCAUGAAAAAGACAAGGAUGAAGGUGGCACCUGUGUCUCAAGGAGUUUGGCGCCAGCCCCAUAUACCGGGUUGGCGGGUUCAAGCCUGGUCCUGGACAAAACUGCAAAAAAAAAAAAAAAAAGAAAAAAGAAAAGGUAAUGAUGAUAAGAAAAGACUAUGGAUGAAUGUUUGCAAAGUGGUAGGCCUUGUGUUAAGCAAUUUAUAUACACUUUUAAAAAAUUGAUCUUCGUAAUACGCUGUUAAGUUUUAUUAGUUCCCUAUAACCCUCUGGUAACAGUCCAUUUAUGGAUGCCCCAGGCAUCUCAGACCAUCCCAUUAGGUUGCCUGUGGUCUCUGCAGCUCUCUCCUAUGGUUGGAAGUUAGUAUUAAAUGAGAUGAGAGUCACCGUAAAAAGGAGCCACAGUCCCUCUCCCCACAGUCCUGGGCAAAGGCCAGGCUCCCUGUGUUUGUGGCUUCAUCCUCACUCACUCUUACACAGCCCUCAACACAUGUAUAGACAUUUGUUCAAUUAAUAUUCCCAGGGAAGGGGCUUGACAAGUGAGGUGGUACCACCUGGCCUUAACAGAGCCAGAACGAGUUCGUGCAGCUUCAGAACCCUGGGUACCCCUGGGAAUUAGAGGGCAUCUCAUGUUCCUAAAUGUCAUCCUUCAUCCAAAGUGCCCGCUGCUCCUACCCCAGGGUGUUCCGUGUCUCUAUUUAGUAAUGACUGUCCCCAACACACACACACACCCCUCCGCAGGCAAGUUUCUCUCCCAUGGCAAUUUCUGCCCAGGGCCUCCAACUCUGUCCUUUCUCUCCCUCCAUCCCAGUCAAAACUUCCUUGUCUCAUGUCCCAUACUUCAGGACCCUGCUCUCUUUAGCCAUUAAUCCAGUGACAGCCUUCUAAGGAUGACACCGAGGUAUAACAGCUUAGUCCAUUUCUCCUUGCAGGUCAUCUAUGUGUAUUUUGUUUUUUGAGACAAGGUUUCACUCUGUGCCCUGGGUAGAGUGCAGAGGUGUCAUCAUAGCUCACAGCAACCUCACACUUCUGGGCUCAAGUGAUCCUCUUGCCUCAGCCUCUCAAGUAGCUAGGACUACAGGCACCCGCUAUAAUGCCCAGGAGUAUUUUUAUUAGAGACAGGGUCUCACUCUUGCUCAGGCUGUUCUGAGCUCCAGGGAUCCUCCUGGGCUCCAGGGAUCCUCCUGCUUUGGACUCCCAAAGUGCUAGGAUUACAUGUGUAACCCACCACGCCUAGCCAUACACAUUGACAGGAACCUUUCAGAGAAAGGUGCUUGGCCCCAGAGUGAACUCUCCUGGGGGUUUCAGACUCUCAGGAAGAUGUCCGGGACAUCUAUUUUGGGUUGGGGGCAUUAUUCAUUCUAGAGCUGGCAGGAUUGCUCUGCAGGACUUCUGAAAUGGGCCCAGUGCUUUAUCUCCUUGCCUCAUCCCUUCUCUCUUCAACCAUUGCCUAAUUUUCCUACAGUACAGCUCUGCUAACAUAAUCGUCUUGCUCCAAAAUCUCCAAUGGCUCCCUACUAUCUAGGGAAAACUCUAUCCAGGCAUCAGAGCUGUUGUAGCCCUGUGUGAUCCUGUUUUGCUCCUUUCCCUCACCCACUGCCCCUGCCACACAGAGCUACUCACACCCCCUCCAGGGCUCCUUCUACUCAGGAUACCUUUGGCUCCAGCUCAUCCCUGCCAGCAGGCUGUGCACACCGUGAAGACAGUGGUCUUAACAGAGGUUUCACACAGUGCCUGGUUCACAGCAACCCCUCGAGAUGGGUAGACAGGUGGGUGAAUGGCUGUCACCCAACUUCCCACCCCUGAACCUUUGCACAUGCCACCACCACCCUACCCCCCACCGCAGCCCAGACUCCUCCCUUUUAGCCUCAGCACCCAGGAAACACUCAUUCUGUGAAUAUGCAGACACUUCCUCCCUUCUCCAUGCUGGGAGAUAACUCUGGAUCCUGCUCUGUUGAUCUUGGAAAAUUCUGGACCUGGGACCGAGCUUCAGGGUUAUAUUCAGAGUCAAAUUACGUGAGACAGGUUGUGAAAGUUCUAGAGUUCACCCAGUGAGAGAGAAUUCAGAGUGAACCUCAGAAGGCCACCUCACUUCACAACUUCCUGUUCUGAUUUUCCCCUCAUUCUUUUAUUUUUGUGUUUGUCAAGAUGGAAAAGGGUUUUCUGGUUUCAACAGCUGAAAUGCCUAGUGUGUAUGUGUGAGGGUUCCGGUGGUUUCGUCUGGGGAAGAGCAGUAAGGAAUCCUGUUUCUCCUGUGUCUCAGCUCUUGGAGUCAUGACCUGUCUCCCAGGCUCCUGUGUGCUGGGUCCUGGGCAGUGCUCGUUCACAGAUCCUAGCAGAGGGGAUAAGAAGCUCCCUGAGCCUGGGCUGGGAAGAUGCUGUGACAGAGGGGAAGAAUGUGAGUGUUGGAGAGGGGGCUGCCUGGGUCUCGCUCCCUCCUCCCACUCUCCCUGCCCCUCUCCGCAGACCUCGGAGCUCAUGCUUGUUCCUGCCAUGUCCUGAUUACAAGCACUUAUUAUAAAACCCUGGCUGCAACACAGAAAGAAGAUAAGAAAACCCCAAACCUGCUGUGCCUGGAGACCCUGCAGGGAAGGUGAGACACCUAAGGCUGAGAGCCAGUGACUACCUUGUCCAAGGUCAUGCAACAACACAGAGGGAGUGGCACUGGGACCAGGACCUGCCUGGGACUUUGAGGCCACCCUGCCUUCCUUGGAAACAGAACAGGCUCUGCAGGAAGGGAGUUGAGGCAGGUGUGCCCUGAGAUGGUAAAACUCCUGUUUCCUGACACUGGGAUCUCCAAUGUCAUGGGGUAAGAGGGAUGUCUGCAGAGGGAAGGUGAGCCUCCCAACACCCCAGCCCCACCAUAUGUCCCAGUGUCCCACAGUGGGGAAUGGGGGGUACACAAAAAAUCUGUAACUGUUGGAAGUGUGAAAGGAGUGGCAAGGAAUACGUGACAGCAUCCACACAAAUCGUGGGAAAAGUCUUCAUUCUGUUUGUUUUACAGUGAGUGGGAAAGCUCAUUUCAAGUUCAGGUGGAAAAUCAAAGGAAAAGAAAGUGCUUAAACCAUCUCAAAGCUGUCAUCACUGGCACUGCUCUUUCCUCCCCCGCACAGAGCCAUGUUCUCCAAGCAGGUGGGGACUGCACCAACAUGGGAGUUGCUCUGGGGUCCUCAGCAUCUUCCUGGUACUUGGCCCCAAAUAGGCCUUCAUCAUCCUUCAGGCUUUAGCCAGAGCACAAUGGCUCCCCCCAGAGUCCCUCCUGAGCACCAGGGCCCACUCCUGGGGGAAUCCACCCUAAAUGGAGAUCCAUUCACCCCAAGGGAGAAGUAGGCAGGAAUGACUCCAAACAGGAGGAGCUCAGUCAAGGUCAAGAGCCAGAGCCCAUGUCCACCCUCCACUUUUUAGUCCAAAGGCCUGGGAUUCUGUUAUACCAGGGGCCAUCUCAACAGAGGACCCACUGGAGCUGCUCCUAUUUUCAGGGCCCACUGUCAAGGAUAUAACAACUGCUCCUUCCAUUUGCCAUCUGGGCCAGGAAAAGAGGAGGAAAGGGGGUCUCUCCCACUUGACAGCCUUCCUGCAACACCCCAAUUCUGCCUACUUCUCCUGCAGCAAGCAUGGAAACUCAGUUAAGGCUGUUAUUUUUGCCCAGCCCACCUGGGAUUUGGGGAACUUUACUAAACCCCAAAUUUUGCAGGGGAAGUGGCAAUAGCUUGGGAGCUGGGGGACCUGGGUUUUCAUCUCGCCUCUCCUGCUAAGUGUUCUUGGACAAGUCUCUGUCUCUCUAGGUCUCAGCUUCUCCCUUUGAAAAUUAGAGACGCAGCUGAGGGGCAGAGAAGACACAAUGGUGGUACCCCUGUGUCCCCCACCCCCAUGGAGGUACCCCUAUGUCCCCCGGAGCUGUUGUUGGGUCCCACCUGUGCCUGACAGACCUUCUCAGAGCAGUGUCUGGAGAGCCCAGCCAGUCCAUCAGAGUGGACAGAGGAGAUGAAGGCUGACUGUUGGCCUGGGGCCACACACUCACCUAGAGCUCUCAUAGCUAUAAACAUCCUGAGCCCCUUGUUAAGCCUCUGGGACUCCCUGUACCUCUCUGUAUUCAGAGAGGAUUCCCAGAGGCCUCUGAUAAAUUAAUCCUCAAAAAUGCCUUCACGUCUGCUCCCUCCUCUCCAGGCCCAGAUCCCACCACCCUCCUGAGGCACUCGAGCCAUCUUCUAACUAGUGUCUUCUGGGAACCCCAGCAUGAGAUCAGCCUUCUAUAGUUCUUGUUGUCAUUGUGCAAUUCCUCCAGAAUCUUCCAUGAUGCAUGUAGCUGUGUGUAGAAGUUUUUUGGUAGCUGGGCACCCAAGCCCCCUUCCUGACUCUCCCCCUAGAGGCUGCCCUGGUGGGAUACAGUGUCCCACCUCCCGCCACGAGGGCUGAAGCAAGGACACCCCCUGCACAGGGUCCUGUGCUGCUCAUGAAGGAGGCCUGUGACUGGCUUUGGAUAAGCAGAAUUCCUCCAGGGGACUCAGAGCCUGGAUCCCCAAGGGCCAUCUUGCUGCCGACUUGUGUUCUAAGUCUGAUCCUCUACUGCCCCCAGUUUCAGCCCUUAAAUCCGCCAAUGCCCACAGAGAGGCCAGGUGGGUCAUUUCUGUUGCCAGCAACCAGGAAUCAGCUCCCUUAGCUCUCUCUGCUCUGUCUUUCCACAUCAGCCUAUUUGCUGGGCCUUUGAGGGGUCUGCACACCCUGUGCCCACCUCCACCUGCCCUCUAACUUUAUCCUUCAGUUUGCUCACUCUUUGGGGGUCACACUUCUCAAAUUGUCAAGAAACAGACCUAAUUUUAAACAUUUUAUCUCAGGUCCUAAUAAAAUACUGAGAUUUCCCCAAACCCCAAUAUUUUGAUGACCACACUUUUCUAAGACUUCCUUUCUCACAUCUGAAAAAAAAAAAAACCA